UAUAAACCACACAUGCCUCUGCAGCCCCAGUAGCCAGAGGCACCCGGCUUUUCAGCUUCAGAAAAUCCAGCCAAGGCCCAACCGGAAUGGAGGGGGAGGGCCAAGAAUAUGUGUGAGACUUUGAUGCGUUGGAAGUAACUGACAAGAAACCGUAAUGUAGGAAAUCGGAACAGCUGGGAGCACCUCAAACGCAGCAGAUGGGAUUUACAGCUGGAAUAGCUGAUAUCUCCAUUCAUUCCUGAACAUCUCAACUCAAGACAACUAUCAAGAGAGAAAGGAGGACUGUUUGCUUUGUGGACAUCAGGCUGCUGGGAAUGGGGCUGAUUCCUAAUAAAUGUAACCCAAAGCUACAAAGUUGGGAGAUGAUAGCAGGGCCACGAUGAUGCAUGUGUGUGCCCUAGGCAAGGCUAGCAAUGAGACUGGGAACAGAUGGAGGACAAAAUCUGGAAGGGGAACAUUUAAAAUACUGAAGUUUAAAAUCCCCAAAUUUGGAUUUGUCAGCAUAAACCAGCUGGGGACCUGAGCUUUAUGUUGAAUUGAGAGUAAAGUGCA